rnacentral:ncRNA from 1 species
AUAAAGUUUAAUUCUAGUUUAAAGAUUUAUUUAAUUUUUUUUUUACAUGUAAAUUUUUGUAGGAUAUUAGUUAAAUUUUAAAAAUUUAAUUAAAAUAAUUUAUUCGCAGUAUUUAAUUUUAAUAAUUUAAGAAAUUAAGAAUUAGAAAUAAAUUUUAAUAUUAACAAAUUUUGUGCCAGCAGUUGCGGUUAUACAAAAGAUAUAAAUGAAUUUUAUUAGUAAAUAAUUAUAUGAAUUAUUGAUAAAUUAAAAUAGUAUUUAUUAGGUGAAAUUUUAAGUAUUAAAUUAAUUUAUAAAAAAGUUUUUAUUAUUAUGAAAUUUAUAUUUAAACUAGGAUUAGAUACCCUAUUAUUUUAAAUGUAAAAAGUUUUACUGAAGUAGUAUUAGUUAUGUUCUUGAAAUUUAAAGAUUUUGGCGGUAUUUUAGUCUAUUUAGAGGAACCUGUUCUGUAAUUGAUAAUCCACGAUUAACUUUACUUAUUUUAUAAAUUUGUAUACCGUCGUUAUUAGAAAAUUUUAGCAGAAAAUUAAUUUUUAAUAUUUUAAAUUAAAAAAUAUAUCAGAUCAAGGUGCAGUAUAUAUCUAAGAAGAAAUGGGUUACAAUAAGUUUAUUUAUAUGGAUUAAAGUAAGAAUAAACUUUAUGAAGGUGGAUUUAAUAGUAAUAAAAUUUAAUUAAAUUUUAUGAUUUUAGCUCUAAAAUAUGUACAUAUCGCCCGUCGCUCUUAUUAUAAGGUAAGAUAAGUCGUAACAUAGUAGAUGUACUGGAAAGUGUAUCUAGAAUGAA